CUGAAUGUGCUGUUUGCCUCGGACAUGAAACAUCUCACAGACUGCCUGGAAGAAGGUGGAGCAGACUGGGGUUAAUGGUCAGCAGCAGCAGCAUCCCCACCACUGGGGCUAUCCCUUUUUAGGCCUUUACCAUGGGCCAAACACUGAGCCGUGGGCUUCGUGUAACUUCUAAGCACGCUUACCUGAUAGAGUGCCAGCAAAGACUCAAAGAGGUGCCUGGGCUUGGCACAUAGUAGCUAUUGCUACUAUUAUGAAUGUUGUUUUGUCUUUGUUUUUGUUUUGAGACAGGGCCUCACUCUGUUGCCCAGGUUGGAGUACAGCAGUGCCAUCAUAGCUCACUGAAGCCUCAACCUCCCUGGGUUUGAGCAAUCCUCCCACCUCAGCCUCCCAAGUAGCUGAGACUACAGGUGUGCGCCACCAAGCCCAGCCAAUUUUUUGUAUUUUCAGUAGAGACUGGUUUUGCCAAGUCGCCCAGGCUGGUUUCGAACUCUGGGGUUCAAGCAAUCUGCCCACCUCAGCCUCCCAAAGUGCUGGCAUUACAGGCGUGUGCCACUGCGCCCAGCCAUUAUGAAUGUCAAUAUUGACAUGAUCUUGUAUCCUUAUGCCCACACUGGGAGAGGUCUGAUUGUCCCCAUGUUCCUGGUGUGGAACCACAUGGAAGAGGCCUAUGUUAUCCCAACAGUGCAGAAGCACAGCCUGAGUCUCUUCUUUGGCUGAGCCAAGGGUGUGCUGGAGAGGCCUGACAGAAGAAGGAGCGGCCCUUGUGACCAGUGCCCUUUUGGUUCACAAGGAACUUCUCCUCUUGUUGAAGUGACUUGGCUGAGCUUGCUACUUCUGCUUUGAGAGUCAAAUAUCAGGAUCAAGACUUUAAUUAUCCCCAAUUUACAGAUGAUGAAACCAUAUUGGGCAGGAAAGAAAGUCACCCCAGGAGAGCAAGUUGGACCUGAGCACUGGCUGAGGACAAAGGGGAAUGAUAAUUUGGGAUGUAACUUGUUAAGGGGUCUCACAAGUGUUCUUGUGAUCCAGGUGUCGAGAGGAUACAGCAGAAAGGUUGCCAGGGAGAUGAGGGUAGGGUGCACCACAAGAGUGGGAGAAAUUAAAGAGAACACGCAACAAAGCCUUGGGACACUGGGAGGGGGAUGGACCACCCAGUUUUGUGCUAUGGGAGAAGACAGCAAGAAAAGGAAUCUGUGUUAAAUCCCGACAGCCUGCAUGAGAAGCAAAUGCCCUUCAUUUUCUUCAUCAGCGGCGAGACUGGCAUCCCUGCAGCUUUGGGAGACCAUGCUAGUGUAGAUGCCAGCUCACGCCAGCGGGCCUGACUGGGAGACCUUGGGCUGGGGUUCUGGUCUGGGGCUCCUAGGCCUGAUGGGAGGAGAGUUCAGCCCCAGGUUUCCUGUACUUCAGCUCAUAUCCACACAAUGGUCAUUAUUGAAAUGAGAGACUCAAAAGAAGAUGGAACGUGAACUUUUUUGUUGUCCCAUGUGGACACCUGUGUUCGGUUUCCAGUUCUACCUCUUGCUGUCUGUGUGUUCUUAAGUAACUCACUUAAACCUUUCUGAGUCUCAUUUUCUUCAUUUAUAAAAUAAAAGACGUAACAUUUAUGUC
rnacentral:lncRNA from 1 species